rnacentral:rRNA from 1 species
GUCUAUGACCAUGCCACCCUGAACAAGCCUGAUGUCUGAUCUCGGAAGCUAAGCAAGGUUGGGCCUGGUUAGUACUUGGAUGAGAGACCACCUAGGAAGACCAGGUGCUGUAGGCA